rnacentral:ncRNA from 2 species
GCACCGCAUUAAGAGUUGGAAAUUCCAUGCCAACCUGUUGUUUACAAAACAAUAAGGUGGACGGUUUAUAACCGAUGUGGCUUGUUACCCAUAAACAAGCAAUCCCAACCCGCUUUU